ACGCACGCUGGCGGCGUGCCUAAUACAUGCAAGUAGAACGCACAGUUUAUACCGUAGCUUGCUACACCAUAGACUGUGAGUUGCGAACGGGUGAGUAACGCGUAGGUAACCUGCCUGGUAGCGGGGGAUAACUAUUGGAAACGAUAGCUAAUACCGCAUAAUAUUAAUUAUUGCAUGAUAAUUAAUUGAAAGGUGCAAUUGCACCACUACCAGAUGGACCUGCGUUGUAUUAGCUAGUAGGUGAGGUAACGGCUCACCUAGGCGACGAUACAUAGCCGACCUGAGAGGGUGAUCGGCCACACUGGGACUGAGACACGGCCCAGACUCCUACGGGAGGCAGCAGUAGGGAAUCUUCGGCAAUGGACGAAAGUCUGACCGAGCAACGCCGCGUGAGUGAAGAAGGGUUUCGGAUCGUAAAGCUCUGUUGUAAGAGAAGAACGGGUGUGAGAGUGGAAAGUUCACACUGUGACGGUAUCUUACCAGAAAGGGACGGCUAACUACGUG
rnacentral:rRNA from 1 species